rnacentral:lncRNA from 1 species
CAGAAGCCAGAGUGCCCAGAUCACUGGCAGGAGGCUGAUGGAUGAGGUCAGAGAGGUGUCACGAGGGACCUGGUAGGCUCCAGUUUUAUUCUAAUUUGAGUGUUAAGACACGGGGUUAUAGACGCUUGCUUUUGAAUUGUCAGCCGUAGUAAGCAAAAAAUGCCCCCAAAGAUGGCAGGUGCUAAUCUCUGGAACCAGUCUUCUGUCCCUUUGGCUACGAAGGACGUCGCUGUUAACUGCAGCUUCCAUACGUCUGAGCUGAGACCUUUGGGACUCUUCUGCUUUCUGGCCGAACAUCCUGCCUGCAGACCUUGGCUGGCACUUGACCAUAGAGACCGUGAGCCACUCUUCCUGUACAUCACCGACGAUCUUCCACCUGCUGUGGCUUCUCCCGCUUUGAGACUUCAACACGACAGAGGAAUCAGAAAUGUUUGGGAAGAGAAGGGGAAACAACUGGAGGCACUGGCCAGCCCACAGAUGAGCAGAGGAGGAAAAGAAUGAAAUGGGCAGGCUGAGUCCGCUGAAAACUCACCCCAGUCUGUCGGUGCGGUGUGACCUCAGGGCUGAAUCUCCACGGCUCUUUCACCAGGACUGCGCAUGUGCAAUGACAGCAGUUGCUGUCUGCAGCAGUUCAGAAUGCGACCACCUCACUUGCUUUUCUUUGUUCUUAAGUCUCUCUUUUCCCAGCACAUUUCUCACACCAACAGAUUCCUUAGGAACAUACCGGAGAUGGGCAUAGCAUGGUGGCAGCCUUUGGAGACAGGAGAUAGGAUAGGGAGAUAGGAUAAAAAAAAAAAAAAAACGGACAGGGAAAGAUUAGGACCUGAGGUCCCUGGGUGGGGAAAAACAAAUUCUGGGAGCAUUGAACUACAGCAAACCCCCUGGGGCUUAAGGUCCCUCUUAAGAAGGUAACAGACAUCACCCACUCCUCCUCAGGAUCCCCUCUUGAAUUUGACAAGCAAAAUACCUAGCCAAACCAUACAACUUAGGGACAUACAACAAGGGACAUUAUGGCCAUCUGACUCCUCACACAAUGGAGUCGAACCACUCAGGAAUGGACAACCCAGCACCUAGCGUUAUCCAGCCAAUAAGGGUCGAACCCGAGAAGGAACCAGGGGAAGGGGAAGGGGGUGCUGGCAAGAACCUCAUAAAAGAACCUCCUUGGCUGUAGUCGUGGGCGUUCACUUUCGAAUGUCCCCUCUCUGUAAAGAGAGAUUUCAUACUAGCCUUCCCUUCUGCGCUUAUACUUUAAUAAAUUUUUGCCUGCGGCUCA